UAGAAGACAAGUGAUAUACAGUGGGACUUAGAAAAAGUUUUAGCUGUUUCGUUCGUGUACGGAUAUCUAAGAGACGUGGGAGUUGUUGAAUUCAAAUGGAAUACAUUACUAUCAAGGGUACAACAAAAAAAGAAAAUCACGACGGCGACGUCAUUGUGGAGACCGACGGGUGGUUGCUCGCGGCGACCCGUCUUCUUGUAGUGCUGCUCGGCGCCAUCGUCGGAUCAGCAGGUCGAUCCUUCUGUGCCGCCAAUGCAGGAACUCCCGAGAAUCGGUGCUGGGAGCCGGCGAAUCGCGGUCGAUGUCUGGAUGAUGUUGAGGUUCGCUCGUUGGUGUUGCAGGUGUUGAUGCUGGCAUUCCAGCUCUUGCCCCAGGGAUGGUGAUUACGAGGAUGUCUCGUCCGCUUCCGUCCAAUAAAGUCAUUCGACCAUUCCAUCAGUAAAGCGAAUUGGUUUUCUUCGAUUUCUUUGCGGGCGUCGUCCGGUAGCAUUUUGGUGUUCCGGCUUUUCUACUGACAAAUCGUCCUUGGACUCUGUUGGUGGAUUUUCGGACUCGUUAGUGUCGCGUGUGGAGUUGUCAUCGGAAAUUGGAGUGGAAUGACGCUGACUUAGUAGUAGUAUCGGCGCAUAUUUCAGCGGAUGGCAACUGAUUUUCUGUAUUUUGAUGAGAUGAAACGGCGACGUUCUCUUGGCUUAACUUUCGCUGAUCAAUUUCUUGAGUCGGAAAAUUAGUGUAAAAUGGGAGGGCGUCACUGUCAAAGGUAUCGUCUGGAUUGUCACUGUCGGGUCCGAUUUCAUUUUCGAAGAUAUCGGUAGUCUGAGUCGCAAUCGAUUUGCGGAAUCGAUUUUCAAAAUCCAAUGAGUUUUCAAUGGAUGGACAAUCUUCAGUCUUCCAAAGCAUUGUUUCGUACAAAGGUUUCAAACGAUUGACGUGGGUACGUUGGCAUACAUAGGAAUUGUCGGCUAUAUCUACUGUAUUAUUGGUAUGUACUUUUACAACUCUAUAAGGACCUUUAUAUUUCGAAGUGAAUUUCCUACUGUCACCUUCUUUAACUACACGAAUAUCCAAUAAAACUCUAUCUCCUACGACAUA
rnacentral:lncRNA from 1 species